rnacentral:rRNA from 1 species
GUAACUGAGUGGCGAACGGGUGAGUAACACGUGGGUGACCUACCCUCGAGUGGGGGAUAACAUCCCGAAAGGGGUGCUAAUACCGCAUGACAUCCUGUCUUUGAACAGAUGGACAUUAAAGCCGGGGAUCGCAAGACCUGGCGCUCGUGGAGGGGCCCGCGCCCGAUUAGCUAGUUGGUGAGGUAACGGCUCACCAAGGCUACGAUCGGUAUCCGGCCUGAGAGGGCGRACGGACACACUGGGACUGAAACACGGCCCAGACUCCUACGGGAGGCAGCAGUGGGGAAUUGUUCGCAAUGGGCGAAAGCCUGACUACGCAACGCCGCGUGGAGGACGAAGAUCUUCGGGUCGUAAACUCCUUUCGAUCGGGACGAAUGAUCGGUGACCUAAUACGUCGCCGGAAUGACGGUACCGA